GCGUCGGUGGUUUAGUGGUAAAAUCCACGCUUGCCAUAGCAAGCAUAUCUGCGUGGGCCCCGGGUUCGAUUCCCGGCCGACGCA